rnacentral:miRNA from 1 species
GAGCUGGGCUGAGCUGGGCUGAGCUGAGCUGGGUUGGGCUGGGCUGAGCCGAGCCGAGCCGGGCCGGGCCGGGCUGGG